rnacentral:misc_RNA from 1 species
UUUCCGUAGGUGAACCUGCGGAAGGAUCAUUAAAAAUAAUCACAGUUUUGUGAUUUUAAUAAUCAUCCUACCCUUUGUGAAUUUGUUUGUAAAGAAAUUUAUGUUGUCUAUCCCUGUGGUUUUUGGAAAAGUUGAAAAACUUUUCGAAUCCUCAGGACUAGGCUUCAUAGACCUUUUUUUAAAUUAAACUUUUUGUAUUCAUUUGUCUAAAAUCUAUUUUUAAUAAUUUAAAAACAACUUUUGACAAUGGAUCUCUUGGUUCUCGCAACGAUGAAGAACGCAGCAAAAUGCGAUAAGUAAUGUGAAUUGCAGAAUACGUGAAUCAUCAAAUCUUCGAACGCAUAUUGCACUUUUCUAGUUUACUAGAAAAGUAUGUCUGUUUGAGUAUCAGUAAAUAUUCUCAUAAAAACAUUGUUUUUAUGGUUAUGAGUGUUUUACACGAUAAACAAGUUGUUUCACUUUAAAUUGAUUUUUAAAAGCCAAUUUGGUUUUAUCUAAUAAAUUGGAUAAAAUUUCCCGUAAAAAGGAAUAAACUUUUCAGUUUUAAAAGAUAAAACUUUUAAUUGAGCCUAAUUAAAAGGAAAUUUAACUAAAUAACUUGAUCUCAAAUCAGAUAAGAGUACCCGCUGAACUUAAGCAUAUCAAUAAGCGGAGGAAAAGAAACUAACAAGGAUUCCCUUAGUAACGGCGAGUGAAGCGGGAAGAGCUCAAAUUUGAAAUCUUCAAGGUUCUACCUUGACGAAUUGUAGUUAUAGAAGUGUUUUCUGUUAGUGGAGUGGCAAAAGUUCUUUGGAAUAGGACAUCAUAGAGGGUGAGAAUCCGUAUUUGGUCAUUCCUCCUAGCGUUGCGAUACACUUUCAACGAGUCGGAUUGUUUGGGAAUGCAGUCCAAAAUGGGUGGUAAAUUUCAUCUAAAGCUAAAUAUUGGCGAGAGACCGAUAGCGAACAAGUACCGUGAGGGAAAGAUGAAAAGAACUUUGAAAAGAGAGUUAAACAGUACGUGAAAUUGUCAAAAGGGAAGCGUUUGACACCAGUGUUGUUUUUCCGAAAUCAAUUACGAAUGUUUGUUUUAAGAGUUAUGACUUCAUCGGCUUGCUCUUUCUUUACGAAACUUUCUUAAUGCACUUUUCGGUUAACAAGUCAACAUCAAUUUCUUUGUUGUAAAAGGGUAUGAGGAAGGUGGCUUUCUUUUCGGAGAAAGUGUUUAUAGCCUUGUGCCUCUGCAAUCGGAGAGAUUGAGGUCUGCAGCGUAGAUCCUUCGGGUUAGAUACGUUUGUGCUAAGUUAUAGCUUUUAUAGACAACUUGUUGACUAUGUUUAGUCUUGUAGCUUACUCGCUGACGCUAUUU